AGAGCAUUGAACUAUUAGUGUAGAACUACAACUCACCGCCGUAUGGCACGUGUUAUGGUCAUUGUCCAGAUCCGGUAAAAGCGACUUUCGGAUUCCCCACUUUGGAAUCAGGAAAAUUGUUCGUUCAGGUCAUCCUCCCCCUGAAUCACCAUUAUCGUUGGCUGGAAUAGUGGAUUGAGAUCUUUUCUACCCUUGUGUUUCUGACUGUUCAUCAAUAAAAGCAGGUGUUUGCUCCUGAACUUGUCUACUCUACCUGCGUAUUAACUUAACCCUGCUUCAGUAAAUGGGAAAUUCACACGGAUUCUCGUCGUGGGAAACUUUAUCCAAAAUCGUCCGCUUGCUGCUUUUCGGUCCGAGAAUGGGAGUUAGUUUCUCGCCCAGUGAACAUGUGUGUCUUUAUCGCCGUGGGACUUCGCCAACGUGUUCCGAUUACUAAUUGGACCCAAUUGAACGGGUACGAAUGUCUACACGUUGGAAGAAAGUGAAAGGAAGUAAAAGGCAAACCACAGUAUGCUGGGAAGUUUGUUUUCUUCACCCGAGUUCUUUGAAAGGAGAGGAUGACAGCUCUUUGAGUUGGUGAAUUCCGUGCACGUAAUUCACGGCGAUUCGAAUUUAAGGAACAUCCGUAUCUAUUAGUGGCGGAAACGCACGUAACCAACGCUCUUCUUACUUUGGUGUUGGUGGCUUGCCCUAUGAUGGAUCGUUUCUUGCCUGCAACCCGUCUUUCCGUGGUCUGUUUUCACUUUAGUGCUGCUCGCCAUUUUAGGCUUUCUGGGAGGCAAGUAUCUGGCGGAUUUGUUCAUGUGAGGAAAAGUAUCUGAAAACUAUGUGCAUAACCUUAAAAUGUUUCUCCCUUCCUCUCGUCACAUGGGUUCCUUGUCCUUUCUCUUGUGGAAAUUGAGUCGGGGCUUCCUACAACCGGCGGCUCGGCGAGUUACCCAGGAACAGAGGGUCACGGGAACUGGAUUAGAGGUUUGUCACUUUAUCCUAUAAAGCCGUCAAUACGUUCUUACCCAGAAUCCGCUGCUGGCCUGGCGGGGAACGGUUCGGUAAGAUAGGGUAGUUCAGGAUUUCAGCAUCAAGAGAACGUAAUUUGACGUGUAAAAGUACAAUAUAUUUAGUAACGCAUUCCUUUUCAUUAGACGUCGUUUUGAAUGUUUUAACCUAAAAUAACUUUCGAAGAUGAGAGAAAAUGGAAAAAAAAUUCGAGAAUUGAGAUUAAUGACCUAUUGUUCGUUGGUGGAUUGAAUGAUUGUUCUGGGAAUUUGCAUCUGCUAUACAUAUACAAUGACUACUCGGAUCGUGCAUGAUAGUAGGUGGAAUGGAACUGAGAGGUUGUUUAAUGAUGUUGGAAUUGUGACUCAAAAACAGGAAAGCUGUGAGGAUGGGAGAGUCUCUGAGACUUCCUGUCAUUGAAAUGGUUUUAAGUUGCCGUGUGAAUGUUUUCCGUGCAUUCUGCACAUCUGUCUUCUUUCGACGGCCGGCUCAGCAGAUUAUUGAAGACGCCCAACAUAAGCAUCUCAGCAGUGAAUGCGAUGAAGAGAGGUAAUAUUCCAAUCGUGCUUUAAUGUCGUUAUUAAUUUCCAUUUUUUUCUUAUUUAUUCGUAGCUGGGUCUAAUUUAUCGUUGGGUGAAUUGGUUUCAUUAACUGUUAAUAUUAAAGAUAUCUUACUUAAGUAGAAACAAAGUGGAAUGGUAUUGAAUUGAUGUAUUGAUCAGUAAGUGUCUUGUACUGUUCAAAUGUGAUCUCUGGCUGUCCAUAUCUCUUUUCUAGCUAUGGUUUAGUCUUAGGUAUCGUAAUUCCUUUUUUGUGUUCAUGUCUUUUCUGUUUUUUGAACUUUUUUAUUCAAAAUAUGCAAUGAUAAGAAUAGAUAGCUAAAAUGAGCUUACAUUUUUUAGGGGAAAGAAGAAAGCACAAAUAUCUAAAUCUAGCUCAAAUAUGGUUGCCAUUUCUUGUGGUGUGAGAUUGGUCAUGUUGUCAAGUCAUGAAGGUUUGCUGGU